UCCAAAUAAGGAAAUUGUAGAAUCAUACAUUUUGCUAUCAUCAAUCAUGGAUUUUUUCUUUUUGGAAAUACUCUAGAUCUACAUUGGGAUGGAAUUAAACACAUUCAAAAAUUCGAUCUGUUACAAAACAUCGACAAAAAUCAGAGAAGAAAGUCUUGGACAAUCUUUACCACAGCGGCCAUGGUAUUGAUGAAGCCAGAACGGAGGUUAAGGAAUCGCUAGUAAGGUUCAGAGACCAUGUGUGCUUGUAGACGUAACAAGUUCUAUCCUAAGUUUUGAUAUGAAAAGUUGUUGUCGCUGAUAAUUCAAGUAUGAAUUAAGGGUCGGAGGAUCCGAAUAGCAAGAAGAUCCGGUAGCCUUACUAUAAUCAAGUCUAGAGAGACUUGGCCUGAUCAAGAACAUGACAAGUUCAUUGAAGCUCUCCACUUAUUCGAUCGCGAUUGGAUGAAGAUAAGAGCUUUUGUUGGAUCAAAGAUAGUUAUCCAGG